rnacentral:rRNA from 1 species
AACGAACGCUGGCGGCAUGCCUAACACAUGCAAGUCGAACGAGACCUUCGGGUCUAGUGGCGCACGGGUGCGUAACACGUGGGAAUCUGCCCUUCGGUUCGGAAUAACAGAGAGAAAUUUCUGCUAAUACCGGAUGAUGACGUAAGUCCAAAGAUUUAUCGCCGAAGGAUGGGCCCGCGUAGGAUUAGGUAGUUGGUGGGGUAAUGGCCCACCAAGCCGACGAUCCUUAGCUGGUCUGAGAGGAUGAUCAGCCACACUGGGACUGAGACACGGCCCAGACUCCUACGGGAGGCAGCAGUGGGGAGUAUUGGACAAUGGGCGAAAGCCUGAUCCAGCAACGCCGCGUGAGUGAUGAAGGCCUUAGGGUUGUAAAGCUCUUUUACCAGGGAUGAUAAUGACAGUACCUGGAGAAUAAGCUCCGGCUAACUCCGUGCCAGCCGCCGCAGUAA